UACGUAGGGUGCGAGCGUUAAUCGGAAUUACUGGGCGUAAAGCGUGCGCAGGCGGCGCGUUAAGACAGGUGUGAAAGCCCCGAGCUUAACUUGGGAAUUGCAUUUGUGACUGCCCGGCUAGAGUGUGUCAGAGGGGGGUAGAAUUCCACGUGUAGCAGUGAAAUGCGUAGAGAUGUGGAGGAAUACCGAUGGCGAAGGCAGCCCCCUGGGAUAACACUGACGCUCAUGCACGAAAGCGUGGGGAGCAAACAGG
rnacentral:rRNA from 1 species